rnacentral:tRNA from 3 species
GCCGGAGUGGCGGAAUUGGCAGACGCACUAGACUCAAAAUCUAGCGUGGGUUACCCCACGUGGGGGUUCAAGUCCCCCCUCCGGCACCA